GUUUUCUGCCAGUCAUAGGUGUCUCUGCUGGGCUCUCCCAUGCUCUGCCAGGAAAGCUGGGGGCUGGCUCUCUCACAUCACUGGAGCCUUGGCUGGGACAGUUCAUCCCUGCUCCAUGGGGUCUCUCAUUAUCCAGGAGGCUAGCCUGGGCUUCUUCACACAGCCAUCUCAGGGUCCAAAGAACAGCAAGAGAAGACAAGGAGAUUUCGGGCAAUACUGCAUUCACUACAGACAAGUCUGCUUCUGGAGAGACAUGCUACUGAUAGCAAAGAAGGAAGAACAGAAAAGAAAACCAAAAGAGCAGAAUCACCAGAAAAAUCUGCUGAAAACUCAGAUUCUUGGGCCCAACUCAUACCAACUGAAUCAGAAUCUCAGAAAGGAAGAAGCACAAGCUGACCAGCAUGGAGAAACUCCAGACUGCUUCUCCCCACUCGGCCCCUCUCUAGUACUCCAGCCUCAUUUUGUCUUAGCUUUGAUACAGCCUCUUCACUCUGGUCACUCCUAUCAUGUGCCUGACAAAAAAGUGGGUCAUAGGAAUGCUCAAAAUGGAAGGAAUCCAGUUACAACCCGGAAGGUGAGCUGAUUGAAAUAUCUGCACAGCAAAACUAAGAAAAGUCAGCUUCAAAGUCUAAACAAGGAAGAUGGUCUUUCCUGUACAUUAUUCGUAGUUUCCCAGGGAGAUAGCAACUCUCUUACAAAGCAUCUCAGGCAUUCACCUCACAAAAGCUGGAGCACUGGCAUCUAUCAGGGGCUUUUGAGCUGUGGCAAUGGCACAAAAAGAUUUCUGGUUCCGAU
rnacentral:lncRNA from 1 species